CCUACGGGUGGCUGCAGUAGGGAGUAUUGCACAAUGGGCGCAAGCCUGAUGCAGCCAUGCCGCGUGUGUGAAGAAGGCCUUCGGGUUGUAAAGCACUUUCAGCGGGGAGGAAGGCGGUGAGGUUAAUAACCUCAUCGAUUGACGUUACCCGCAGAAGAAGCACCGGCUAACUCCGUGCCAGCAGCCGCGGUAAUACGGAGGGUGCAAGCGUUAAUCGGAAUUACUGGGCGUAAAGCGCACGCAGGCGGUCUGUCAAGUCGGAUGUGAAAUCCCCGGGCUCAACCUGGGAACUGCAUUCGAAACUGGCAGGCUAGAGUCUUGUAGAGGGGGGUAGAAUUCCAGGUGUAGCGGUGAAAUGCGUAGAGAUCUGGAGGAAUACCGGUGGCGAAGGCGGCCCCCUGGACAAAGACUGACGCUCAGGUGCGAAAGCGUGGGGAGCAAACAGGAUUAGAUACCCGUGUAGUC
rnacentral:rRNA from 1 species